rnacentral:rRNA from 1 species
CCUACGGGAGGCAGCAGUGAGGAAUAUUGGUCAAUGGACGAGAGUCUGAACCAGCCACGUAGCGUGAAGGAUGACUGCCCUAUGGGUUGUAAACUUCUUUUAUAUGGGAGUAAAAUGUUCCACGUGUGGGAUUUUGUAUGUACCAUAUGAAUACGGAUCGGCUAACUCCGUGCCAGCAGCCGCGGUAAUACGGAGGAUCCGAGCGUUAUCCGGAUUUAUUGGGUUUAAAGGGAGCGUAGGUGGAUUGUUAAGUCAGUUGUGAAAGUUUGCGGCUCAACCGUAAAAUUGCAGUUGAAACUGGCAGGCUUGAGUACAGGAGAGGUGGGCGGAAUUCGUGGUGUAGCGGUGAAAUGCUUAGAUAUCACGAAGAACUCCGAUUGCGAAGGCAGCUCACUGGACUGCAACUGACACUGAGGCUCGAAAGUGUGGGUAUCAAACAGGAUUAGAUACCCCGGUAGUC